rnacentral:rRNA from 1 species
GUAAACGGCGGCCGUAACUAUAACGGUCCUAAGGUAGCGAAAUUCCUUGUCGGGUAAGUUCCGACCCGCACGAAAGGCGUAACGAUUUGGGCACUGUCUCAACGAGAGACUCGGUGAAAUCAUAGUACCUGUGAAGAUGCAGGUUACCCGCGACAGGACGGAAAGACCCCGUGGAGCUUUACUGUAGCCUGAUAUUGAAAUUCGGCACAGCUUGUACAGGAUAGGUAGGAGCCUUUGAAACGUGAGCGCUAGCUUACGUGGAGGCGCUGGUGGGAUACUACCCUAGCUGUGUUGGCUUUCUAACCCGCACCACUUAUCGUGGUGGGAGACAGUGUCAGGCGGGCAGUUUGACUGGGGCGGUCGCCUCCUAAAAGGUAACGGAGGCGCUCAAAGGUUCCCUCAGAAUGGUUGGAAAUCAUUCAUAGAGUGUAAAGGCAUAAGGGAGCUUGACUGCGAGACCUACAAGUCGAGCAGGGUCGAAAGACGGACUUAGUGAUCCGGUGGUUCCGCAUGGAAGGGCCAUCGCUCAACGGAUAAAAGCUACCCCGGGGAUAACAGGCUUAUCUCCCCCAAGAGUUCACAUCGACGGGGAGGUUUGGCACCUCGAUGUCGGCUCAUCGCAUCCUGGGGCUGUAGUCGGUCCCAAGGGUUGGGCUGUUCGCCCAUUAAAGCGGUACGCGAGCUGGGUUCAGAACGUCGUGAGACAGUUCGGUCCCUAUCCGUCGUGGGCGUAGGAAAUUUGAGAGGAGCUGUCCUUAGUACGAGAGGACCGGGAUGGACAUACCUCUGGUGUACCAGUUGUCGUGCCAACGGCAUAGCUGGGUAGCUAUGUGUGGACGGGAUAAGUGCUGAAAGCAUCUAAGCAUGAAGCCCCCCUCAAGAUGAGAUUUCCCAACUUCGGUUAUAAGAUCCCUCAAAGAUGAUGAGGUUAAUAGGUUCGAGGUGGAAGCAUGGUGACAUGUGGAGCUGACGAAUACUAAUCGAUCGAAGACUUAAUCAAAA